rnacentral:rRNA from 1 species
UACGUAGGGUGCGAGCGUUGUCCGGAAUUAUUGGGCGUAAAGGGCUCGUAGGCGGUUUGUCGCGUCGGGAGUGAAAACCAGGUGCUUAACACCUGGCUUGCUUUCGAUACGGGCAGACUAGAGGUAUUCAGGGGAGAACGGAAUUCCUGGUGUAGCGGUGAAAUGCGCAGAUAUCAGGAGGAACACCGAUUGCGAAGGCAGCUCGCUGGGACGUGACUGACGCUGAGACGCGAAAGCGUGGGGAGCAAACAGG